AAUAGGUAUCUUUAACCCGACUGAAUCGAUUUUUAGGGAAACGAAUAUUUAAUAAUAAAUUGUGUUUAAAUUUCAAUGUUUAUGGUCUUUUUAAUGAUAAAAAAGCUGAUAUAGGGGGCGGAUAUGCCACUGUUAUAGGUGAAAAGUUCGGAAGUUUAGAUGCAUAGUUAUUCAAUUCAAAUCUGUAAGCAAUGACAAACCAUUUCUAAUGAAAAAUGAUUCGGAGCGAAGUUCGGUUAGGUUAUUCUUUUGAUCACUAAAUACGACAUAUAAUGAAUCUCCUGUUAAAUUUUAAAACAUUCCUGUCGAAUCUAAAAGUUUUAUUUACACAUAGUACCUACUAAAUAAUAAUUUCGUAAAAAACUCGCGAAAAAAAUGUCUAUAAUA